rnacentral:lncRNA from 10 species
GGGGCGGCGGCUCGGCCCCCGGCCCCCGGCCCCGGGGAGCCCAGAGCGACUAGUCGGGCAGGAAAAGAAUGACGGUGACGUGACCACUCUGACCCCGAGGACUCUCUGGGCUCUGGCGGGCGCUGGGCUCGGCGGAUCUGAGUGCGUAGGAAGGGCGAUGGGCGCUCAGUCCCCGAGGAUCACCUGCGGGACCCUUUGGGGGCACCUGCCGGAGCAGCUGGCCCUGCGACGGGUCCCACCGCGCCCUCAGCAGCAAGGCGGUUCUCCCUUUAUAGAGGUUUUACAUACAUAUCAAGGUAUAGAGAAGAACUUACCCAUCAAUAAUCAUGGGGAAUGGAGCAACCUCACUGCUGAAGCCCCUUAGGGACCCUCUUCACCACCUUCCUCACCCUCAUCCCUGAGUGCCGCGAUGAACAUUCUGGUCUGUGUCUUCUUGUGCACAUGUGAGUUUCUAUGGAGUGCACCUAGCAUUGGCCACAGACAUUGCAAGGGAUGCCUAACUUCAGUGCUACAAAUUACUGCCCAGUCGUUCUCCAAAGCGAUCUUGCCAGCAGCAGAUGAGUCAUUGUAGUAACACUCCCAGCCCUCAACACUGCCUCUCAUCACGUCAGUUCUUUUCCAGUGUAAUGGGUGUGGUUACUUCUCAUGGUUUAAAUUUGCAUUUCCCUAAUUACCAUGGGGUUAGAGGUCAGGCAUUUGUUCCUAUGUUUAUUGGUAUUUUUUAUACUGUAAAGUCUUGAUCAUAACUUUUUCCUAUUUUUCUAUUGGUUGUUGACAUUUUCUUGUUGGUUUUUAAGAAUUCUUUAUAAAUUUUGUAUCUUAAUCUUUCAUCAGAUGGAUGAGUUGCAAAUAUUGUCAUUCACUCCAUGGCUUAUCUUAUAACUAUUUGUGAUGUCUUUCAAGACACAGAAAAUUUACAUCUGCACAUAUUCUAAUUUACCUCUUUCUUUAAAGUUUGUACUUUGGUUGACAUGGUUAAAGUACCUUUUCCUCUUCCAAGAUAUAAGUUUCCCUACACUUUCUUCUAAAAGUUUUUAAAUUUUGUCGUUUUAUAUUUGGUCUUACAUCUAUCUGGAUUUGAUUCUUUGUAAAGGUGUGGUGGAGAGAUCAUCUUUCUCCUUGGAUAAUAAUUGUCAAAGCAUUUAUUGGACAGCUCAUCCUUUUCCAGUCAUCUGCAAUGCUGGCUUUGCCAUAAAUCAAAUUUCCCAGUAAGUGGUGGUCUGUUUCUGGGUUCUCUAUUUUGUUACAUUGUUCUGUCCUCUAGCAAUACUGCACUCUCACAUACUAUAACUUGAUAAUAAGUCUUGAUUUCUGGAUGAGCAUGUAUUCAUACAUUUUUUUUUCAAGACUAUCUCAACUAUUUGGAGUUCUCUGCAUUUUCAUACAUAUUUUAGAAUUAGCUUGUCAGUUCUAUAAACAUUUUGUUGGGAUUUUGAUUUAAACAAUGACUUCCUAGGUUAAUUUAGGGAAACUGACAUCUUCAUGAUAUUGAGUCUUCCUAUUGAUAACCAUGGAAUAUGUCUCAUUUAUUUAGGUCUUCUUCAAAAUCCUUCAAUAAAGUUUUUCAU